rnacentral:rRNA from 1 species
GACGAACGCUGGCGGCGUGCUUAACACAUGCAAGUCGAACGGAAAGGCCCUGCUUUUGUUGGGUGCUCGAUUGGCGAACGGGUGAGUAACACGUGAGUAACCUGCCCUUGACUUUGGGGUAACUUCAGGAAACUGGGGCUAAUACCGGAGAUGAUCUCCUGCUGCAUGGUGUGGGUUGGAAAGUUUCGGCGGUUGGGGAUGGUCUCGCGGUUUAUCAGCUUGUUGGUGUGGUAGUGGCUUUCCAAGGGUUUGACGGGUAGCCGGCAUGAGAGGGUGACCGGCCACAUUGGGACUGAGAUACGGCCCAGACUCCUACGGGAGGCAGCAGUGGGAAAUAUUGCACAACGGGCGGAAGCCUGAUGCAGCAACGCCGCGUGCGGGAUGACGGCCUUCGGGUUGUAAACAGCUUUGGCAUGUGACGAAGCGUGAGUGACGGUAAUGGGUAAAGAAGCACCGGCUAACUACGUG